AAGAAAGUGGCAGAGUGGUUAUGUGGCUGGUUUGAAACCAGUUAAUGGGGGUUCAAUUCCUUCCUUUCUUG
rnacentral:tRNA from 1 species